rnacentral:misc_RNA from 1 species
GAGAAAGAGCACAAAAUCCCAUCACGUUUCAACAUUUUCCCAGCUGAAGGAAUGGCCAGCCAUGGUUGGGGUAGAUCCAGAAAUACAGAAUCAGCCAACCCAGUAUAUUCAUCUGGAAAUCCCUCACCCUGAAUGUCUCUAACUCCAACUGUGACUAAGCUGCUUACUCCUGUCCUCUCAAAAUCUUCCCUUGCUGAGGCAGCCCUUUGUUCAUGGAAAUCAAACGUAUAAACAUGUCCUGUAGGAGCCACAGCCCUUGCAAGUGAGGUCGUUAAAGAUCCACUACCAGUGCCAGACUCUAGUACCAAACAACCAGGAACUAUCUCCAAGUACAUAAUCACAAAGGAAAUAUCAGCAAUAUAGAGGAUCUGAGUNUGGUUUAAAACUAGAGUCCAUAGUUCAGGAGUUGGAGCUAACAAAUAGACAAAUCCACCCUUGUUGCUAAACACUUUGGACCCAAAAGGCUUUCCAAUCCAGUCUGAAUGUUUAAAUACACCAAAACGGUUCUGGAGCACUGAAGUCUCACAUACUCUAAUUGCCUUCAUUGUAUCAUGCUUCUCAUAGACGAUAACCAAAUCUCCAUCUCUUAUGCACCGUGUAAAUGAUAACUUUUUCGUUGAAUCAGUAAGCAACAUCUUUAAAUGUGGAACCUGCUGAUGUAGGGGUUGGUAGAAGCACAAU